UACGUAGGGUGCGAGCGUUGUCCGGAAUUAUUGGGCGCAAAGAGUUCGUAGGCGGUUAUCUAAGUCUGGUGUUAAAGCCCGAAGCUCAACUUCGGCAUGGCAUUGGAAACUGGGUAGCUAGAGUGUGGUAGAGGUAUCGGGAAUUCCUGGUGUAGCGGUGAAAUGCGUAGAUAUCAGGAGGAACACCGGCGGCGAAAGCGCGAUACUGGGCCAUAACUGACGCUGAGGAACGAAAGCCAGGGGAGCGAAAGGG
rnacentral:rRNA from 1 species